rnacentral:snoRNA from 1 species
CUUUGCCGGUGAUGAUUUGUUAUCCCUGUCAGAUAUGACAUGUUGAGAACUGUAAAACUGAGGCAUGG